rnacentral:rRNA from 1 species
GACGUAGGAUGCAAGCGUUGUCCGGAAUUAUUGGGCGUAAAGAGUUCGUAGGCGGUUUGUUAAGUCUGGUGUUAAAGACGGGAGCUCAACUCCCGCAUGGCAUCGGAUACUGGCAGGCUAGAGUGUGGUAGAGGUCUCGGGAAUUCCAGGUGUAGCGGUGAAAUGCGUAGAUAUCUGGAGGAACACCGGUGGCGAAAGCGCGAGACUGGGCCAUAACUGACGCUGAGGAACGAAAGCCAGGGGAGCAAAA